rnacentral:rRNA from 1 species
UACGUAGGGUGCGAGCGUUGUCCGGAAUUAUUGGGCGUAAAGAGCUCGUAGGCGGUCUGUCGCGUCGAUCGUGAAAACUGGGGCUUAACCCUGAGCUUGCGGUCGAUACGGGCAUGACUGGAGUUCGGCAGGGGAGACUGGAAUUCCUGGUGUAGCGGUGAAAUGCGCAGAUAUCAGGAGGAACACCGGUGGCGAAGGCGGGUCUCUGGGCCGAUACUGACGCUGAGGAGCGAAAGCGUGGGGAGCAAACAGG